CGCUCCGCCACUGUAGCCUACUGCUGCCUCGGGUCCCCUACUGAUUGGAGACUUUUCUACUUCUGGUCAUAUUUUUUGAACUGUCCGUAGCUCUGUGUCCUGUGACAGUCGGGUUGAAUAGCUAUAUAACAUUCACUAUUGUGUAGGCUUCUUGUUUGCCUCCCAGUUUCGGUAGGGUCACCUGGCAUUGGCGAACCCUAGACCUAGACUUCCCAGUUGUCAUUCCCAGUUUUUCGUUUUUGGUGUGCCUCGACGAAUCGUCAGAUGGAUAAACUCCCCAAUGUUCUGUUUCAGUAGUUGCAUUCAGUCGGUGCGUGUUGGUAAUGACCUACCGAACAGAUGAUCGAAUGAGGAUGUCGUAAUCUUGGGCAGGCCACGUCGAGAGUCAAUGCCGACUCCGUAUGGCGAGGUUUGCGAAGCGUCGGAAGUGAGGAUUUAGUUCCAAUUCCGUUACAUUGCUUUGCAGAGGGUUGCCGCCCAAAAACAUUUCAACCCACGAGAGUCUCAAAAUAUAAACUCUCUGUGGUUGACGAGAAAAUUUUAAGUCCAUCACCAGUCCAGCUUUCGAAAUGAAGUCAUUCUUGUUGGUGAUGGUUUAGAUUUGUCAUUGGUUUGUGUAAUGAAAGGAUGAGUCAGAAUGUGUGAAAUUUGUGAAGGUGGCUUUAAUGAACUCAUUGGCACGGCUGCGUGCACUCCAUGUUGUUGGUGGCAGGAGGGCCUCGCAAGAAAGUUGUCUUCUAUGCCUUUAUUUUAGUAAGCUUCUCUACACUGAAAUAUGGACAACUAUCAAAUUUUGUAGUAAAACCACCUAUAGUGUUACAUUACUAAAAAUCCAGCUGCUUGCAUGCGUUCUCUUUAUGUAGUAUGAUAGAACAACGAGGAAUGACUUUUUUUGUUACAGCUUACAAUUGUAGAAACGCACAAGAAACAAAUGUGGAACAAAAGAUAUUAUGUUACUUUGAUUGGCGUGUGAGGUUCAUCCGAAAGAGGAUUUCUGCUUUUAAGUUGAUUUGCAAUCAAUAUGUGCUGUUGGAAAGAUCACGAAAUAAAUCAUAAAUCGCUCGAAGAUCCCAGUCCGAUGUUCAUGUGUGGAUGCAGCAGCUAUAAUAUGCAUAUACUGUCCAACUAGAUUGUUCCAGUAACUUCCAACCAGACAGGGUGUUGAUAUGGUCAGACGGGGCGUAAGAUUUCUUGUGUUAAUUUCCA
rnacentral:lncRNA from 1 species